rnacentral:rRNA from 1 species
GUAGGGAAUCUUGCGCAAUGGGCGAAAGCCUGACGCAGCAACUCCGCGUGCGGGAAGAAGGCCUUCGGGUUGUAAACCGCUUUUAGCAGGAACGAAAAUGACGGUACCUGCAGAAUAAGGUGCGGCCAACUACGUGCCAGCAGCCGCGGUGACACGUAGGCACCAAGCGUUGUCCGGAUUUAUUGGGCGUAAAGAGCUCGUAGGCGGCUCAGUUAGUCGGGUGUGAAAACUCAGGGCUUAACCCUGAGACGCCACUCGAUACUGCUGGGCUAGAAUUCGGUAGGGGAGUGGGGAAUUCCUGGUGUAGCGGUGAAAUGCGCAGAUAUCAGGAGGAACACCGGUGGCGAAGGCGCCACUCUGGGCCGACAUUGACGCUGAGGAGCGAAAGCGUGGGUAGCAAACAGGAUUAGAUACCCCGGUAGUCC